UGUGCCUGCUGCCCAGGCUCGGCGCAUGGGGCUUGCCCGGCUAGAGUACAGGGAGGGACGGGCAGGCAGACUCACCCGCGCUGGGGGGAGCCCGUAGUGGGCACCGACAGGCCGUCUCCAGCGGAGCCCAAAGUUUUGCCUGCCGGAGCAGCAGCAGCCUUUGCUGAGGAGCUGUGUACUGGCGAUCAUUCACUCAGAGCCUCUCUCACUGCUAUCUCCCGUCAAUCUCCUGAGAACCACUUUCUGAGUGAUUCCAGCUUCCGAACAUGUUUCCCAUGGUAGGGGUUUUGAUCCCUUGCCAGAUUUGCCCUGAGCCAUGAGUGAAUAUGUGUAAUGCCCACAAGUAAAACUGGGUAAGAAGAGUGACCUUUUUGGGUGGCUGUAACUGAAGAUUGCUUUGCAGAAGCAACCAAAGUAGGU